CCUACGGGCCGCAGCAGUGGGGAAUAUUGCACAAUGGGCGCAAGCCUGAUGCAGCCAUGCUGCGUGUGUGAAGAAGGCCUUCGGGUUGUAAAGCACUUUCAGCGGGGAGGAAGGCGGUGAGGUUAAUAACCUUGGCGAUUGACGUUACUCGCAGAAGAAGCACCGGCUAACUCCGUGCCAGCAGCCGCGGUAAUACGGAGGGUGCAAGCGUUAAUCGGAAUUACUGGGCGUAAAGCGCACGCAGGCGGUCUGUCAAGUCGGAUGUGAAAUCCCCGGGCUCAACCUGGGAACUGCAUUCGAAACUGGCAGGCUAGAGUCUUGUAGAGGGGGGUAGAAUUCCAGGUGUAGCGGCGAAAUGCGUAGAGAUCUGGAGGAAUACCGGUGGCGAAGGCGGCCCCCUGGACAAAGACUGACGCUCAGGUGCGAAAGCGUGGGGAGCAAACAGGAUUAGAUACCCGGGUAGUC
rnacentral:rRNA from 1 species